AGGUGCGGCGUGCAGGAGCACAAGUUUCCCGGACGGGACCCAUUCAUUGCCUCGGAGCGGCUGUUCCUCGGUCCCGGUGGCCGUCCAGCGGGAAGGGAUCUGGGUCCACGGGGCCGAGAGUGCACCUCGUCAUCGGUGGCUGGAGCUGGGGCCCGGGGUCGCGACUAUGCAGACCUGCGCCCGAACCUGGGGGAUGCGGCUGGGUUGUGGAGUAGGGGGCGGCCGUCGCUUGGCAGGAGGUGCGGGCCCGCGGUGGGCGCCUCGCGGCCGGGAGCGCAGCAGCGGCGGUGGAGGGGGCGGCGGCGGGAGCGGGGCCUCGCGCCUCCUGGAGCGCCUCCUGCCCAGACACGACGACUUCGCACGGAGGCACAUCGGGCCUGGGGACAAAGACCAGAGGGAGAUGCUUCAGGCCCUGGGGCUGGCGAGUAUUGAUGAACUGAUCGAGAAGACGGUCCCCGUCAGCAUCCGCUUGAAAAGACCCCUGAAAAUGGAAGACCCUAUUUGUGAAAAUGAAAUCCUUUCGACUCUGCAUGCCAUUUGCAGCAAAAAUCAGAUCUGGAGAUCAUACAUUGGCAUGGGCUAUUAUAAUUGCUCAGUGCCACAGACAAUAUUGCGGAACUUACUGGAGAAUGCAGGAUGGAUCACCCAGUAUACACCUUAUCAGCCAGAGGUAUCUCAGGGGAGACUGGAAAGUUUACUCAAUUAUCAGACCAUGGUAUGUGACAUCACAGGCAUGGACAUGGCUAAUGCAUCUCUGUUGGAUGAGGCAACUGCUGCUGCAGAGGCCAUGCAACUGUGCUACAGACACAACAAGAGGAGGAAAUUCUUUGUUGACCCUCGGUGCCACCCACAGACAAUAGCUGUCAUCCAGACUCGAGCCAAGUUUACUGGAGUCCUCAUUGAGCUGAAACUGCCCCAUGAAAUGGAUUUCAGUGGAAAAGAUGUCAGUGGAGUGCUAUUCCAGUACCCUGACACUGAGGGGAAGGUGGAAGACUUUACGGAACUCGUGGAGAGAGCUCACCAAGCUGGAAGUCUGGUCUGUUGUGCUACUGACCUGCUUGCUCUGUGUAUAUUAAAGCCUCCUGGAGAAUUUGGCGCAGAUAUUUCCCUGGGUAGCUCACAGAGAUUUGGGGUGCCUCUGGGCUAUGGAGGUCCACAUGCAGCCUUUUUUGCUGUCAGAGAAAGCUUGGUGAGAAUGAUGCCUGGAAGGAUGGUGGGGGUAUCAAGAGAUACCACAGGGAAAGAAGUAUAUCGUCUUGCUCUUCAAACCAGAGAGCAACACAUCCGAAGAGACAAAGCUACCAGCAACAUCUGUACAGCUCAAGCUCUCUUGGCAAAUAUGGCUGCCAUGUUUGCAAUCUACCAUGGUUCCCGUGGACUGGAACAUAUUGCUAGGAGGGUACAUAAUGCCACUUUGAUUUUGUCUGAAGGUCUCAAGCGUGCAGGGCACCAACUACAGCAUGAAUUAUUCUUUGACACUUUAAAGAUUCAGUGUGGCUGUUCAGUGAAGGAAGUCUUGGAAAGGGCUGCUCAGCGCCAAAUCAAUUUUAGACUUUUUGAUGAUGGCACACUUGGAAUCUCUCUUGAUGAAACAGUUAACGAAAAAGAUCUGGAUGAUUUAUUAUGGAUCUUUGGCUGUGAGUCAUCUGCUGAGCUGGUUGCUGAAAGCAUGGGUGAAGAGUGGAGAGGUAUUACAGGGACUGCUUUCAAGAGAAGCAGCCCAUUCCUCACACACCAGGUGUUCAACAGCUACCACUCAGAAACAAAUAUAGUUCGAUAUAUGAAGAAAUUGGAAAACAAAGAUAUUUCUCUUGUUCACAGCAUGAUUCCACUGGGGUCCUGUACCAUGAAGCUUAACAGUUCAUCUGAACUUGCACCUAUCACAUGGAAUGGAUUUGCAAACAUUCACCCCUUUGUGCCUCUGGACCAAGCUCAAGGGUACCAGCAGCUUUUCCGAGAGCUUGAGAAGGACUUGUGUGAACUCACUGGUUAUGACAGAAUCUCUUUCCAGCCUAACAGCGGAGCCCAAGGAGAAUAUGCUGGGCUGACCACGAUCCGAGCUUACUUAGACGGGAAAGGAGAGAGACACAGAACCGUUUGUCUCAUUCCAAAAUCAGCACAUGGCACCAACCCUGCAAGUGCCCAAAUGGCAGGCAUGAAAAUCCAGCCAGUGGAAGUGGAUAAGUACGGGAGUAUUGACACAGCUCACCUCAAGGCCAUGGUGGAUAAACACAAGGGUAAUCUGGCAGCAAUUAUGAUUACAUACCCAUCCACUAAUGGAGUGUUUGAAGAGAACAUCAGCGACGUGUGUGAUCUGAUCCACCAACAUGGAGGACAAGUCUACUUAGAUGGGGCAAACAUGAAUGCUCAGGUGGGACUCUGCCGUCCUGGAGACUUUGGGUCUGAUGUCUCACACCUAAAUCUUCAUAAAACCUUCUGCAUUCCCCAUGGAGGAGGCGGUCCUGGCAUGGGACCCAUUGGAGUGAAGAAGCAUCUUGCCCCUUUUCUGCCCAGUCAUCCCAUCAUUUCAUUAAAGUCAAAUGAGGAUGCCCAGCCUGUGGGUACCAUCAGCGCCGCCCCUUGGGGCUCCAGUUCCAUCUUACCCAUUUCAUGGGCUUAUAUUAAGAUGAUGGGAGGCAAAGGCCUUAAACAGGCCACAGAAAUUGCUGUAUUAAAUGCCAACUACAUGGCCAAGCGAUUAGAAAAACACUACCGAAUCCUUUUCAGGGGAGCAAGAGGUUAUGUGGCUCAUGAAUUUAUUUUGGACACAAGACCUUUCAAAAAGUCUGCAAAUAUUGAGGCUGUGGAUGUGGCUAAGAGGCUUCAGGAUUACGGAUUUCAUGCACCUACUAUGUCCUGGCCAGUGGCAGGAACUCUCAUGAUUGAGCCCACAGAGUCAGAAGACAAGGCAGAGCUGGACAGAUUCUGUGAUGCCAUGAUCAGCAUUCGGCAGGAAAUUGCUGAUAUUGAGGAGGGCCGCAUGGAUUCCAGGGUCAAUCCACUGAAGAUGUCUCCACACUCCCUGACCUGUGUCACAUCCUCCCACUGGGAUCGGCCAUAUUCACGAGAGGUGGCAGCAUUCCCACUUCCCUUUGUGAAACCAGACAACAAAUUCUGGCCAACCAUUUCCCGGAUUGAUGACAUCUAUGGAGAUCAGCACCUGGUUUGUACCUGCCCACCCAUGGAAGUAUAUGAGUCUCCAUUUUCUGAGCAGAAGCGAGCCUCUUCUUAGUCUCCUUUUCUGAAGUUCGAGUGACUCAUCUGAAACCUUUUUCCAGAGCAUUUCAUAACCACCAGGUUCCAGAUGCUACCAUGAUGCCAACCAGACUUCCCUGGGCAGAUGACCCCACCAAUGUGUCUUGGAGCCCCGCCUCACUAGGGAAAGAGAGGCAGGCUGGGAGUAUGGAUCAACCUGUCAAUGCCCAUGUUCAGCGGGGAAGCAAUUACAGAAGCUAUAGCUUCCAUCUUCUGCACCCCAUAAUGAUUCUGGGUCCAUACUCCUAGAGGGAUAAAGAAUAGGAAAGCUAUCAGGGAAGGGCAUGGGAUACAGAGUUCUGGUGGUGGGAAUUUUGUGGAGUUGUACCCUUCUUAUCCUAUGGUUUUUGUCAGUGUUUCCUUUAUAUAAAUAAAUAAAAGGAAUGAACAAAUGAAUGUCUUGAGAAGGGGGUACAUCUAUCUUUCUCUUUAACUCAUCACACUGAGGAUCAGAAAAAGCACUCAAAUGGGAAGGUCACCUAAUUCAGACCAACUAUGUCUUCCCUCCAAGGUUGAGGAUACAGGGAGCACAUUUCCAUUUAAUAAUUUCCCCCUCUGGAUUUACACAUGGGUCCUUUUCACUCUAAGCCUUGGAGAGAGUCCAAAUCUUGACCACCAGACUCAACAUUAAAGGGAAAAGGUUCCAGAUAUGAAUCAAUCAGAGAUGCAAGGGAGGAUAUCCCAGGAGCUUUCCCCAGCCAACAGAACAGGUAGAGUAUGGGUAUGCAGCUUGGGAAGCUCUUCAGCAACCUCUUCGCUUGACCAGGUUUCCUGGACACCCAGCUUCUCUAAAGUCACAAGUGAAGCAUGCAUAUCUAUGCAAUAUCAGAUUGCGAUAUGCAAAUACAAUAUGCAAAUACAGUGUGCAUAUCUAUGCAAUAUCAGAUUGCUAUAUGCAAAGAUUAGAAACUUGAUUGAA